UGUACACUGUGGAAUACUGUAGCAUUAGGGCAAAAGCACAAGGUGUCUGAAUAAUAAAACAAACGGUUGAAAGAGGUGUUUUCUGCAAAGACUGGUCUGGGAGAGAGGGGAGGGGACAGCUCGCGCUCUCUAAGGCUUUCUGAUGGGAAGGAAAGGUUGAGCUUGAUGCCGGCGAGGGUGUAGCCAGCCCAAGAGUCUCCACAAAUCUCAAGCCAAAGUGUAGGCUACUCGUCUAGUCAACACUCAAGCUGGCAGCAGAGAGAGGACAUAGGGGCCUAAGAAGGGAGGCCUACUCUUAACAUCACCCAUCCAGCAGGAUACUUACUGUAAACAAUGGCUAACCCCACCCCCAAUCUCCAGCUUCAGCCAGGUUUCUCCCAGUCCUUCAGCUGAGCGGUCUGGUGGGGCUUGAUCAAUGGCAGGAAACCAGCAGAUCAAAUGGUGAUUCAUCUGAAAGCGAUAGGCUAUAAUCUACACAACCAUACCUCUGAGACCUCUGUGACUUUACCUCCAUGUGAUGUUGGGGUUGUGUGUAAUCUUCUCCCCUUAGGAACACAGUAACCCUGAGGGUAGAUGAAUACAGUACACAGUCCUACGGGGUUGUUUAAUAUGCUCAAUAUGCUUAUUACUCACUCAGUCUCCGCCAGCUGUAUGCAAAUAUAAAACAUAUUGCCUUGGGUCUCUGUGGAGAACCUCACUACUCGCUCAGACUCACCAUAGGCCUUUAUCUGUAAUUAAACACACUAACUUCGUCUCUGGGGUUAUUGAUAUUGAUAUUUUUUAUCAUUAAUAAACAACUUGCUGUAAGGGAUUGCACUGCUGUUUCCUUUUGGCGCCUGUUUGUCUGUAAUUCUGAAAUUGUUUAAAUAACUUGAUUAUAUUAUGUAUCUUCAAUAAAUGUUAUGAGCUGAUAUUGGAUUAAUUGUCCACAUUCUCAGAAUGCUGUAUACUAUUAUAUAUUAAGGUACUUCAAUACGAUACCUCAUGAAUCAUGGAUUUGCUCAUGUAUCAUGUAUUGCAGCAGACAUAGGCCCCCCUUCUUGUCAAUUAGAAUUACCCCAAGGGCAAAACUCCAACGGUACUACAAUGCUGUCCAAGACAAUACCAUCAUUUCUACUGCAUAUCUGGAAAACCUUAAUUCAACGUUUAACAACACAAUUCAUUGAUCAUUGUCAUGUUCUGUUAAAUGACUGAUUGAAAGACUGAAUGAUGGCGGGUUGUUCUGAAAAAAUCUUUACUAAUCCACUAACUGAGCUGGGAGAUUGUGCUUUCCUGAGGAGGGGAGUGUUCCUAAUCUGGACCCAUUAGAGUAUAAUGGGGUGUUCCUAAUCUGGACCCAUUAGAGUAUAAUGGGGUGUUCCUAAUCUGGACCCCUUACAUAUAUUAUGGGGUGUUCCUAAUCUGGACCCCUUACUGUGUGAUGGUGUGUUCCUAAUCUAAAUCCCUUACAGUUUGAUGGGGUGUUCCUAAUCUGGGUCCUUUACAGUUUGAUGGGAUGUUCCUAAUCUGGGUCCCUUACAGUGUGAUGGGGCUUUCCUAAUCUGGAUCCCUUACAUAGUGAUGGGGUGUUCCUAAUCUGG